rnacentral:rRNA from 1 species
CCUACGGGGUGCAGCAGUGGGGGAUAUUGCACAAUGGGGGGAACCCUGAUGCAGCGACGCCGCGUGGGUGAAGAAGCGCCUCGGCGCGUAAAGCUCUGUCAGCAGGGAAGAACGGUCACUGUGCUAAUCAGCAGUGAAUUGACGGUACCUGCAAAGGAAGCACCGGCUAACUCCGUGCCAGCAGCCGCGGUAAUACGGAGGGUGCGAGCGUUAAUCGGAAUUACUGGGCGUAAAGCGCUCGUAGGCGGUAUGUCAAGUCAAGGGUGAAAUCCCCGCGCUCAACGUGGGAACUGCCUUUGAAACUGGCAAACUGGAGUGUGUGAGAGGAUAGUGGAAUUCCAGGUGUAGGAGUGAAAUCCGUAGAUAUCUGGAGGAACAUCAGUGGCGAAGGCGACUAUCUGGCACAUAACUGACGCUGAGGAGCGAAAGCGUGGGUAGCAAACAGGAUUAGAUACCCCUGUAGUC